UGACUUUUUACUAAGUCAAACUUCUUUAGAUUUGACCAAUUUAAAAAUAUAGCAAUAUUUUCAACACAAAUAUGUUCAGUGUUAGAUGUAAUAAAACUAUUUUAAUACUAUAAGUGUUGUUAUAUUUUUCUAUAAACUUGGUCAAACUUUCAAGAAGUUUGACUUAAAAUAAGUCAA
rnacentral:pre_miRNA from 1 species